rnacentral:lncRNA from 13 species
ACAUACUGUAGGGGGACCUCUAACUCUAGUUCUUCAAAGGUCUGAUGGUCUCAUCACAUACUGUAGGGGGACCUCUAACUCUAGUUCUUCUAAUGUCUGAUGGUCUCAUCACAUACUGUAGGGGGACCUCUAACUCUAGUUCUUCUAAUGUCUGAUGGUCUCAUCACAUACUGUAGGGGGACCUCUAACUCUAGUUCCUCUAAUGUCUGAUGGUCUCAUCACAUACUGUAUGGGGACCUCUAACUCUAGUUCUUCUAAUGUCUGAUGGUCUCAUCACAUACUGUAGGGGGACCUCUAACUCUAGUUCUUCUAAUGUCUGAUGGGUUCAUUGUCAUGAUCAUGUAAUCAGUCAUGUUCACAGUGAGGUCCUAUGAGCAAGCUUUACAGUACAGGCCUCCUGACACUCCCUCUAACACUGUCACUAUCCACCACCCUGAAGGAAACAUGCUACUGCAACAGCCAAUCUCCUUUCACCUCAGAGCUUCACCCAGGAGACACUCAUAUCACCUCCUCGUCAUCAUCGUCUUCCUCAGCAUAUUCAUCAUCAUCAUCAUCAUCAUAUUUUUCUUCAUCAUGAUGUUCAGAGUUCUGAUUCACCUGGCAGCUCUACCACUCUGGGUGACAGGUAUUAAAUCACUUACGAUGAGAAGCCUAACGAUACUACGAAUGUGAUCAAACUAAAUAAAAUAUCCUUUCUCUCGCAUCUUCUCUCUCUAUGUUUCUCUCUCUUCCUCACCUUCUCUCCUCUCUCUCUCCUCUCUCUCUCUCUCUCUCUCUCUCUCUCUCUGUCACCUUCUCUAACCUCUCUUCUCUCUCUCCGUAUCUCCUCUCCUUCGGUCACCUUCUCUCCCUCUCUGCUCUCUCCUCUCUCUCUCUGUCCACAGGGCAGUUGUUUAGUAGCAUGGUUCAUCAGAGACCUGUGGCACUAACAGAAGAUCCUGGAGGAGACGUUCAACUCACCUGCAGCCAUACGAUCCCUAACUACUACGUGAUACUAUGGUACAAACAGUCAGCAGGAGACACUGCUAUGAAACUCAUUGGAUAUGCAAAUUACAAGUCAAUAACCAUGGAGAAAUCAUUUGAAAAGCACUUCAAUGUGAGUGGAGACGGUGGGAAAGAGGCUUAUCUUCAUCUAGUGAGUCUGAGAGGACCUGAACACAGUGCAGUUUAUUACUGUGCAAGAUAGAUUUACUACUGAAAUAUAUUGCUGUCAAUAUGCUGAGUAAUACUGUAUAUUUCAGAUGGUCUGUUUUCAUCCACAGGGCUGUCACAAACAGACAAAGUUCACCAGACUCCUACUGCAAUACUAAAAGGACCUGAAGACAAAGUUAAUCUCUCCUGCAGCCACACUGAUUCAAAUUACUACAGGAUACUGUGGUACCAACAGUCAGCCCAAAACACUGCUCUGAAACUCAUUGGGUAUGUGUGGAACACCAGUCCAACGGUGGAAGAUUCCUUUAAAGGGCGUUUUGAUGUCAGUGGAGAUGCUGCAGCUAAUAAAAUGGCGUAUCUACAUUUUCCCAAAGUGACAGAAGCUGAAGCUGUAUUGUAUUUCUGUGCUGAAGUAUUUCAGAAGCUGAAGUGUAUUUCUGUGCUGCUAGUGAAGCACAGUGUUUCACUAUACCCUCUCUCCUCUACAAAAACCCUCUCUGAUCCUCUCAUAUAAUACUGACUACAGCUCUAUACACCUGCACCUGUCUUCAACCACUUCAACAACACUUUGCUAUGAACCAUUAGAUAUCAGACAGAUGGUAAUGAGACUGUUUUAAGUGGCUAGUUUAGAUGGUUUAGGUGCACUUCCUCAGUUCUCCACCAGGAGGGAGUGUUUCUCAACACACAUUUAGAAGAUGCUGUAUCGUGGCACUUUAUGGACCCCGGUCAAAGUUAGUGCACUAUAUAGGGAAUAGGGUGUCAUUUGGGACAUUAGGGGUGCCUGGACCAGGGCCAGUGGUAUGAGUGGGCCCUAGGGGACCUGGGACAGGGAAUGUGGUACGGGAGGGCCCUAGGGGGCCUGGGACAGGGAGUUGUACGGGAGGGCCCUAGUUGGCCUGGGACAGGGCCGGUGGUACGGGAGGGACCUAGGGGGCCUAGGACAGGGAAUGGUACGGGAGGGCCCUAGGGGGCCUGGGUCAGGGCCGGUGGUACGGGAGGGCCCUAGGGGGCCUGGGACAGGGCCGGUGGUACGGGAGGGCCCUAGGGGGCCUGGGACAGGGCCGCUGGUACGGGAGGGCCCUUGGCGGCCUGGGCCUGGUGACCCUCUGUCUCUGUAUAUGUAGACCAUGUAUCUGAUUCUGUCGGGACAAAAAGUAAAUAGUGUAUGGCGUGUGAUACAUUCUCUGUCCAGACAUCAUCAGAUACAAGGGCUACAUACUGUAUUGAGUGACUGAGCAUGGGAUACAACUCACCACUAUAACUGUUCCUCUGUCUGGAGAUACAACUCACCACUAUAACUGUUCCUCUGUCUGAAGAUACAACUCACCACUAGAACUGUUCCUCUGUCUGGAGAUACAACUCACCACUAUAAUUGUUCCUCUGGAGAUACAACUCACCACUAUAACUGUUCCUCUGGAGAUACAACUCACCACUAUAACUGUUCCUCUGUCUGGAGAUACAACUCACCACUAUAACUGUUCCUC